rnacentral:rRNA from 2 species
AAAUUGAAGAGUUUGAUCAUGGCUCAGAUUGAACGCUGGCGGCAGGCCUAACACAUGCAAGUCGAACGGUAACAGGAAGCAGCUUGCUGUUUCGCUGACGAGUGGCGGACGGGUGAGUAAUGUCUGGGAAACUGCCUGAUGGAGGGGGAUAACUACUGGAAACGGUGGCUAAUACCGCAUAACGUCGCAAGACCAAAGAGGGGGACCUUCGGGCCUCUUGCCAUCAGAUGUGCCCAGAUGGGAUU